GUGGGGAAUAUUGGACAAUGGGGGGAACCCUGAUCCAGCCAUGUCGCGUGUGUGAAGAAGGUCUUCGGAUUGUAAAGCACUUUAAGCGAGGAGGAGGCUACCGAGAUUAAUACUCUUGGAUAGUGGACGUUACUCGCAGAAUAAGCACCGGCUAACUCUGUGCCAGCAGCCGCGGUAAUACAGAGGGUGCAAGCGUUAAUCGGAUUUACUGGGCGUAAAGCGCGCGUAGGUGGCCAAUUAAGUCAAAUGUGAAAUCCCCGAGCUUAACUUGGGAAUUGCAUUCGAUACUGGUUGGCUAGAGUAUGGGAGAGGAUGGUAGAAUUCCAGGUGUAGCGGUGAAAUGCGUAGAGAUCUGGAGGAAUACCGAUGGCGAAGGCAGCCAUCUGGCCUAAUACUGACACUGAGGUGCGAAAGCAUGGGGAGCAAACAGGAUUAGAAACCCGUGUAGUCC
rnacentral:rRNA from 1 species